rnacentral:rRNA from 1 species
UACGUAGGUGGCAAGCGUUGUCCGGAAUUAUUGGGCGUAAAGCGCGCGCAGGCGGUCCUUUAAGUCUGAUGUGAAAGCCCACGGCUCAACCGUGGAGGGUCAUUGGAAACUGGGGGACUUGAGUACAGAAGAGGAAAGCGGAAUUCCACGUGUAGCGGUGAAAUGCGUAGAGAUGUGGAGGAACACCAGUGGCGAAGGCGGCUCACUGGCCCGGUACUGACGCUGAGGCGCGAAAGCGUGGGGAGCAAACAGG